rnacentral:rRNA from 1 species
UCAGAACGAACGCUGGCGGCGCGUUUAAGCAUGCAAGUCGAGCGGCAAGGGCCUUCGGGCCCUAGAGCGGCGGACGGGUGAGUAACACGUGGACAAUCUGCCCCCCGGCCCGGGAUAGCCCAGGGAAACCUGGAUUAAUACCGGAUGAGACGGGACCCGCGAUGGCGGGAUCCGGGAAAGGCGCUGCGGCGCCGCCGGGGGAUGAGUCUGCGUCCCAUUAGCUAGACGGCGGGGUAACGGCCCACCGUGGCGACGAUGGGUAGCCGGCCUGAGAGGGUGGACGGCCACAUUGGAACUGAGACACGGUCCAGACUCCUACGGGAGGCAGCAGCUAAGAAUCUUCCGCAAUGGGCGAAAGCCUGACGGAGCCGACGCCGCGUGAACGAAGAAGGCCGUGAGGUUGUAAAGUUCUUUUCGGGAGGGGGAACAACCGUGGCAGGGAAUGGCCGCGGGAUGACGUGAAUCCCGGAAUAAGCCCCGGCUAACUACGUGCCAGCCGCAGC